GACGAACCGUGCGAACGUUGUUCGGAAUCACUGGGCUUAAAGGGCGCGUAGGCGGGCUAUCAAGUCCGGGGUGAAAUCCUCCCGCUCAACGGGAGAACGGCCUCGGAUACUGAUGGUCUUGAGGGGGAUAGGGGCACGCGGAACUGUGGGUGGAGCGGUGAAAUGCGUUGAUAUCCAUAGGAACUCCGGUGGCGAAAGCGGCGUGCUGGAUCCCUUCUGACGCUGAGGCGCGAAAGCCAGGGAGCAAACGGG
rnacentral:rRNA from 1 species